GCUUGCACUGGUCAAUCUAGUGGCGAACGGGUGAGUAACACGUGGGUAACCUGCCCAUCAGAGGGGAAUAACAUUCGGAAACGGAUGCUAAAACCGCAUAGGUCUUCGAGCCGCAUGGCUUGAAGAGGAAAAGAGGCGCAAGCUUCUGCUGAUGGAUGGACCCGCGGUGCAUUAGCUAGUUGGUGAGGUAACGGCUCACCAAGGCCGUGAUGCAUAGCCGACCUGAGAGGGUGAUCGGCCACAUUGGGACUGAGACACGGCCCAAACUCCUACGGGAGGCAGCAGUAGGGAAUCUUCCGCAAUGGACGCAAGUCUGACGGAGCAACGCCGCGUGAGUGAGGAAGGUUUUCGGAUCGUAAAACUCUGUUGUUAGAGAAGAACAAGUGCUAGAGUAACUGUUAGCGCCUUGACGGUAUCUAACCAGAAAGCCACGGCUAACUACGUGCCAGCAGCCGCGGUAAUACGUAGGUGGCAAGCGUUGUCCGGAUUUAUUGGGCGUAAAGCGAGCGCAGGCGGUUCCUUAAGUCUGAUGUGAAAGCCCCCGGCUCAACCGGGGAGGGUCAUUGGAAACUGGGGAACUUGAGUGCAGAAGAGGAGAGUGGAAUUCCAUGUGUAGCGGUGAAAUGCGUAGAGAUUAGGAGGAA
rnacentral:rRNA from 1 species